CUGGCCAUUCCCAGGCUUCCCGACUCUCUAGGAACGGCGAGGAGGCACUGCCUUGGCCAGCUUCCUGCCAUUCAGCCGGGAGCCGGGCCCGGGGAGGGCUCGCGCUGGGAAAACAAAUGCGCGAGGGAAGGACCAGGAGGAGGAAGUGACAGCUAGGACGCUCCAAAGGGACCGCGGCUAAGCCACGGCCAACGCUGCAGAGCAGGAAGCGGAGCACAAACAGGAUCUGAGCGAGAAAAUUUGCCUGAAAACCAAGCUCAUCUUGCUGGGAUUCCUUCCUGAGAAGCAGUUUUCCCCUCUCCACUGAAACUCUCCACAGUCCACCAAUGAUUCCUCUUCACUUCUGUUCCUCAAGAGCUAGAUUUAAAGAAGCUAUUUGAAAUAAUAUACUUCCUUCUUCUUUGUGAUUGAAUCUAUGGUGGUAAUAAAACAAAAAAAUAAAGAACAGCUGUGCAGAGAUGUGACCAUGACUCCAUAAUUUCCAGUUAACUUUGAACAACAACAAAAGGCUGAAAUGCAAGAAAAUGAAAAUCUUCCUUGGAGCAAGGAUUCUGGUCAGCUUCACCCCUAACCCUUGCAGUGUCCAUGAUGUCCUGUAUUUGGGAGAGAACAGUGUUCACAGAGCUCAAACCUGGAGACCCAGGAGCUGGGAGAAGCAUUUGGUAUACGCCUCCUGGCUCCUAAUGAAAGUCAACUCUUCUGGAGCAAGCCUCACCUCGGGACGAAAGCAGAAAGGGGUUGAACACUGACUUAAGGAAAGUGUAUAGAUUCCUAUCUUAUGUAAAGUGCAUGAAGACAAACAUUUUUAUUAUUUUAAAUAAAU